rnacentral:rRNA from 1 species
GUCUACUGCCGUACCACCCUGAACGCGCCGGAUCUCGUCUCAUUUCAGAAGAUAAGCAGGGUCGGGCCUGGUUAGUACUUGGAUGGGAGAAACUGUACCUAUGAAUCAACCACUGUACUAUAAAUU